UCGGCCCCGGUUCACGGGGGACAACCCGUCCUUCGACCCGGCGCC
rnacentral:ncRNA from 1 species